CCGACGGUGAGAGACGAAAGCUGGGGGAGCAAACCGGAUUAGAUACCCGGGUAGUCCCAGCCGUAAACGAUGUGCGUUAGGUGUAUCGGUGACCACGAGUCACCGAGGUGCCGAAGAGAAAUCGUGAAACGUACCGCCUGGGAAGUACGGUCGCAAGGCUGAAACUUAAAGGAAUUGGCGGGGGAGCCCCACAACAGGUGGAGCCUGCGGUUUAAUCGGACUCAACGCCGGAAAACUCACCAGAUAA
rnacentral:rRNA from 1 species